ACCGUGAGGGAAUGGUGAAAAGUACCCCGGGAGGGGAGUGAAAUAGUACCUGAAACCGUGUGCCUGUAAGCCGUCAGAGCCUUGUGGGGUGAUGGCGUGCCUUUUGAAGAAUGAGCCUGCGAGUUAGUGAUACGUGGCGUGCUUAACCCGUGUGGGGUAUGCGUAGCGAAAGCGAGUCUGAAAGAUGGCGUGUGUCGCGUGUUCUAGACCCGAAGCGGGGUGAUCUACCCAUGGUCAGGUUGAAGCAGAGGUAAGACUGUGUGGAGGACCGAACCCACCAGGGUUGAAAACCUGGGGGAUGAACUGUGGGUAGGGGUGAAAGGCCAAUCAAACUCCGUGAUAGCUGGUUCUCCCCGAAAUGCAUUUAGGUGCAGCGUCGCGUGGUCCCUGGUGGAGGUAGAGCUACUGGAUGGCCGAUGGGCCCUGUGGGUUACUGACGUCAGCCAAACUCCGAAUGCCAUUAGGUGUAGCGUGGCAGUGAGACUGCGGGGGAUAAGCUUCGUAGUCGAGAGGGAAACAGCCCAGAUCAUCAGCUAAGGCCCCUAAGCGUGCGCUAAGUGGGAAAGGAUGUGGAGUCGCGGUGACAACCAGGAGGUUGGCUUAGAAGCAGCCAUCCUUGAAAGAGUGCGUAAUAGCUCACUGGUCAAGUGGUUCUGCGCCGACAAUGUAGCGGGGCUCAAGCGUACCGCCGAAGCUGUGGCAACGACACGUGAUGCUGGCGCCAGGAACUGGAGUGCUGGUGUGUUGUUGGGUAGGGGAGCGUCCUGCACGAGGUGAAGCCUGGAGGGAACUUCUGGUGGAUUGUGUGGGAGUGAGAAUGCAGGCAUGAGUAACGAAUCUGCGGUGAGAAUCCGCAGCGCCGAUUGACUAAGGGUUCCAGGGCUAGGUUUAUCCGCCCUGGGUUAGUCGGGUCCUAAGGCGAGGCCGACAGGCGUAGUCGAUGGACAACCAGUUGAUAUUCUGGUACCGCGUUGUGACCGCCCAUGCUGAAGUCAUUGUGCUAACCAAUUUGCUCACGCCUCCACGUGACCUUCGGGUUUUGUGGUGUGUGUGGGUCUUGGGGCCCCGGUGAUUGUAGGCAAGCGUGUUAACAGGGGUGACGCAGACAGGUAGCUGCAGUGCGCCGAUGGUUGUGCGUAUUUAAGGUUGUGGCCCGUCUUCCAGGUAAAUCCGGGGGACAUUGUGGGUGAGAACUGAUGAGGGACACACGCGUGUGUGGACUUGUGGUGAUCCUAAGCUGCCGAGAAAAGCCUCGACGUGAGGGCAUGACGCGCCCGUACCCUAAACCGACUCAGGUGGUCAGGUAGAGUAUACCGAGGCGUUCGAGUGAAUCGUGGUUAAGGAACUCGGCAAAAUUCCUCCGUAACUUCGGGAUAAGGAGGACCCCGUGACUUCCCCGCGCCGUGCGCGUGGGUGGGGUUGUGGGGUCGCAGAGAAUAGGGAGAAGCGACUGUUUAUCAAAAACACAGGUGCGUGCGAAGCCGUAAGGCGAUGUAUACGCACUGACGCCUGCCCGGUGCUGGAAGGUUAAGAGGAACCGUUAACACCCCCCUUGUGGGGUGUGAAGCGGUGAAUUUAAGCCCCAGUAAACGGCGGUGGUAACUAUAACCAUCCUAAGGUAGCGAAAUUCCUUGUCGGGUAAGUUCCGACCUGCACGAAUGGCGUAACGACUUCUCCGCUGUCUCGACCGCGAACUCGGUGAAAUUGCAGUACGAGUAAAGAUGCUCGUUUCGCGCAGAAGGACGGAAAGACCCCGGGACCUUUACUAUAGCUUGGUAUUGGUGUUCGCUUGGACUUGUGUAGGAUAGGUGGGAGACUGUGAAGCUGCCGCGCCAGCGGUGGUGGAGUCGUCGUUGAAAUACCAUUCUGGUUCAAGCGGUCACCUCAACCUUGGCCCGUGAUCCGGGUUGGGGACAGUGCCUGGUGGGUAGUUUAACUGGGGCGGUUGCCUCCUAAAAUGUAACGGAGGCGCUCAAAGGUUCCCUCAGCCUGGUUGGUAAUCAGGUGGCGAGUGCAAGUGUACAAGGGAGCUUGACUGUGAGACCGACGGGUCGAGCAGGUGCGAAAGCAGGAACUAGUGAUCCGGCCAUGGCACGUGGGUGCGUGGUCGCUCAACGGAUAAAAGGUACCCCGGGGAUAACAGGCUGAUCUUGCCCAAGAGUCCAUAUCGACGGCAUGGUUUGGCACCUCGAUGUCGGCUCGUCGCAUCCUGGGGCUGGAGUCGGUCCCAAGGGUUGGGCUGUUCGCCCAUUAAAGCGGUACGCGAGCUGGGUUCAGAACGUCGUGAGACAGUUCGGUCCCUAUCCGUCGCGGGCG
rnacentral:rRNA from 1 species